rnacentral:rRNA from 1 species
UACGUAGGGUGCAAGCGUUAAUCGGAAUUACUGGGCGUAAAGCGUGCGCAGGCGGUGAUGUAAGACAGUUGUGAAAUCCCCGGGCUUAACCUGGGAAUGGCAUUUGGGACUGCAAGGCUCGAGUGCGGCAGAGGAGACUGGAAUUCCUGGUGUAGCAGUGAAAUGCGUAGAUAUCAGGAGGAACACCGAUGGCGAAGGCAGGUCUCUGGGCUGACACUGACGCUCAUGCACGAAAGCGUGGGGAGCAAACAGG